UACGGUGGGGGUAAGCGUUGUUCGGAAUUACUGGGCGUAAAGGGCUCGUAGGCGGCCAACUAAGUCAUACGUGAAAUCCCUCAGCUUAACUGGGGAACUGCGUGUGAUACUGGAUGGCUUGGAUUUGGGAGAGGGAUGCGGAAUUCCAGGUGUAGCGGUGAAAUGCGUAGAUAUCUGGAGGAACACCGGUGGCGAAGGCGGCAUCCUGGACCAAUAUUGACGCUGAGGAGCGAAAGCCAGGGGAGCAAACGGG
rnacentral:rRNA from 1 species